rnacentral:rRNA from 1 species
ACGGGAGGCAGCAGUGGGGAAUAUUGGGCAAUGGGGGAAACCCUGACCCAGCAACGCCGCGUGAAGGAAGAAGGCCCUCGGGUUGUAAACUUCUUUUACCAGGGACGAAUAAAAUGACGGUACCUGGAGAAAAAGCAACGGCUAACUACGUGCCAGCAGCCGCGGUAAUACGUAGGGAGCAAGCGUUAUCCGGAUUCAUUGGGCGUAAAGCGCGCGUAGGCGGCUUGUUAAGCAAGAUUUUAAAUCUGGGGGCUCAACCUUCAGCCGGAUCUUGAACUGGCAAGCUCGAGUUUGGUAGAGGAAAGUGGAAUUCCCAGUGUAGCGGUGAAAUGCGCAGAUAUUGGGAAGAACACCAAUGGCGAAGGCAGCUUUCUGGGCCAUAACUGACGCUGAGGUGCGAAAGCUAGGGGAGCGAACAGGAUUAGAUACCCUGGUA